rnacentral:misc_RNA from 1 species
GGCGCGUUUUGGCGUCUACCUGGUUGAGUUGAACUCAACCAUAAGGUUGACACCAAAAUGGAUUUUAGAUCAACUCGGUUGGUCGAAGUCGGACUAACCAAGUUUACAUUUCAGUUGACGCCAAAAUGAAAGUUGAGCCGAAGUCACGCCCACCACUUCAUUAUUCGGCGAAAACCACUAUUUUCAUAAAAUGUGGCAACGGUGUCCCCUUCUCUCUAUCUUAGGUUGUCUGCAAUGUGCUGUAAAUAUUUAUUAAUUUUAUAAUUUAUACGCUGUCGAUGCAGUGUGCCCAACUGAUUACUGCAUCAGUCUUUCUGCGAGGCGGUUGUGUGGUUUGUUUGAUUCCUGUGAGAAGUGGCUCUGUUGAAUUUGCUUGUAGCAUUUUUUUUCCAUUCUACGUGCCACUCAGCCUUCACUGUUUAGGUUUCAAACAUUUAUCCUCAGUGAAAUGGAUGCGAAUAAAUUGUUGGCAAUUGUUUGUGUGUCAGAAAUGUUGAUGGAAAGCAGUUCAUCAUCAGAAGAUUCUGAAGAAGACGACAAUAAAAAAAUAUUUGCUUUAGCAAGUGUUAUUCGAGAAACCCACCCUAGACAAACUGGAUACCUCAGUGUCAUUAUGGAAUAUUCUAAUAGCGAUUUUUGGAGACAUUUUAGGGCGCAAUUCGCUUGCUUGCUGACAAAUUUGACAGGACCGAAUCAUCCAUAUGGAACGCAAUAGAAUGGGUGUGUAAUUUCCUAUUCAAACAUCAAUCAUGUUUCAUUAAGUGGCCUGUUGAAACUGAAAUGCCAUACAUUGCUUCGAAGUUUAAGGAUAAAUGUGGUUUCCCAGGAGUUGUAGGUGCAAUUGACGGUUGCCAUAUUCCUUUUCAUCCUCUUUUUGCAGACCAGAAGUCAUAUAGAAACUACAAAAAAUUUCAUAGUUUUGUAAUCAUGGCCAUUGUCUUGUAUGACGGAACUUUUUCCUAUGUUUU